GAUGAAGAACGUAGCGAAAUGCGAUAAGUAGCGUGAAUUGCAGAAUUCAGUGAAUCAUCGAAUCUUUGAACGCACAUUGCGCCCUUUGGUAUUCCUUAGGGCAUGCCUGUUCGAGCGUCAUUUAAACCUUCAAGCUAAGCUUGGUGUUGGGUGACUGUCCGCUUCACGGCGGACUCGCCUCAAAAUUAUUGGCGGCCGGUACAUUGGCUUCGAGCGCAGCAGAAACGCGAACUCGGGCCCGUCGUAUUGGCUCCCAGAAGCUAUCUUCACAAUUUUGACCUCGGAUCAGGUAGGGAUACCCGCUGAACUUAAGCAUAUCAAUAAGCGGAGGA
rnacentral:misc_RNA from 1 species